ensembl:snRNA U6 U6 spliceosomal RNA
CUGCUCACUUCCACAGCACAUAUACUAAAAUUGGAACCGUACAAAGAUUAGCUGGUAUCCUGCACAAGGAUGACAUGUGUAUGUCAUGAAACAUUUGUAUUUUUA